UACAGAGGUCCCAAGCGUUGUUCGGAUUCAUUGGGCGUAAAGGGUGCGUAGGCGGCGCGGUAAGUCGGGUGUGAAAUCUCGGGGCUUAACUCCGAAACUGCAUUCGAUACUGCCGUGCUUGAGGACUGGAGAGGAGACUGGAAUUUACGGUGUAGCGGUGAAAUGCGUAGAUAUCGGGAAGAACACCAAUGGCGAAAGCACUCUGCUGGGCCGUAACUGACACUGAGAGACGAAAGCUAGGGGAGCAAACAGG
rnacentral:rRNA from 1 species